rnacentral:rRNA from 1 species
UACGUAGGGUGCAAGCGUUAUCCGGAAUUAUUGGGCGUAAAGAGCUCGUAGGCGGUUUGUCGCGUCUGCUGUGAAAACUGGAGGCUCAACCUCCAGCCUGCAGUGGGUACGGGCAGACUAGAGUGCGGUAGGGGAGAUUGGAAUUCCUGGUGUAGCGGUGGAAUGCGCAGAUAUCAGGAGGAACACCGAUGGCGAAGGCAGGUCUCUGGGCCGCAACUGACGCUGAGGAGCGAAAGCAUGGGGAGCGAACAGG